UACGAAGGGGGCUAGCGUUGCUCGGAAUCACUGGGCGUAAAGCGCACGUAGGCGGCUUUCUAAGUCAGGGGUGAAAUCCUGGAGCUCAACUCCAGAACUGCCUUUGAUACUGGAGAGCUUGAGUCCGGAAGAGGUGAGUGGAACUCCGAGUGUAGAGGUGAAAUUCGUAGAUAUUCGGAAGAACACCAGUGGCGAAGGCGGCUCACUGGCCCGGUACUGACGCUGAGGUGCGAAAGCGUGGGGAGCAAACAGG
rnacentral:rRNA from 1 species